rnacentral:snRNA from 1 species
AUACCUUUCUUAGCCUUUUGGCUAAGAUGAUGUGUAGUAUCUGUUAUUAUCAUUUAGUUUAAUAUACUUAAUACCAUGAGCUAGUAGUUUGCAUGAUAUCAAUUUCUUUUAGAAGCUUCAUCAAAUAUGCGAGUAGCUCAGUUAAUUUGACCGAUCACCCUAA